AUGACGGUUCUCGCUAGAACCGCCAGCGCCGCCGUAAGCGCUCUGUCUCUGAUCGGUCUCCUCUCCUACAUAAUUUUGCAUAACAAUAAGUCUAGGAGCAGAAAGGCCGCACUCAGAAAGCGCCCAAGCGGCGUCGUCUCCGCCAUUGGCAACACUCCUCUCAUCAGGAUCGACAGCCUCUCCGAUGCCACUGGAUGCGAGAUUUUGGGGAAAGCUGAGUUUUUGAAUCCUGGAGGUAGCGUCAAAGAUAGAGUGGCACUCAAAAUUAUCCAAGAGGCUCUGGAAUGUGGAGCUCUAUCUCCUGGGGGAGUGGUUACUGAAGGAAGUGCCGGAAGCACAGCCGUCAGUCUUGCAACUGUGGCUCCGGCUUUUGGAUGCAGGUGCCAUGUAGUCAUUCCGGAUGAUGCUGCCAUCGAGAAGUCUCAAAUCCUGGAAGCUCUUGGUGCCACUGUGGAAAGAGUUAGGCCGGUUUCAAUCACCCACAAAGAGCACUUUGUAAAUAUUGCACGGAGAAGAGCACAAGAGGCAAAUGAACUAGCCUCAAAGUACCAAGAAACGAGCGAAAUUGGUAACCAUUUCAAUCAGCUGAAUGGCAGUGAUGCAGUCUCUGAAACGAAGAGUUCAAAUUACUUACCCGACUGCAAAGGUGGUUUUUUUGCUGAUCAAUUUGAGAACCUUGCCAAUUUCAGAGCUCACUAUGAGGGUACUGGACCUGAGAUUUGGGAACAGGUUGGUAGAAAAUUGGAUGCAUUUGUUGCCGCUGCUGGUACUGGUGGCACUGUCGCUGGAGUCUCUCGGUAUCUGAAGGACAAGGAUUCCUCUACCAAGUGCUUUCUAGUCGACCCACCUGGUUCUGGCCUGUUCAACAAGGUAACAAGAGGAGUGAUGUACACAAGAGAGGAAGCUGAAGGACGGAGGUUAAAAAAUCCCUUCGAUACGAUCACUGAAGGAAUUGGAAUUAACAGAUUGACAGAAAAUUUCAAAGCUGCAGAACUUGAUGGGGCUUUUCGAGGCUCAGAUAAGGAGGCUGUUGAAAUGUCUAGGUAUUUAUUGAAGAAUGAUGGGUUGUUUCUUGGUAGUUCUUCAGCAAUGAACUGUGUUGGAGCUGUCAGAGUGGCACAACAAAUGGGCCCUGGUCACACCAUCGUCACAAUUUUAUGUGACAGUGGUAUGAGGCAUUUGAGUAAGUUUUACAAUGCUGAAUAUUUGGCCAAGUAUGGAUUGACACCUUCAGCUUCUGGACUGGAGUUCCUUGGCAUCAGUUCUGGUGUGAAGGAACAAUAAUCAGAAAAGGCGACGGCUCUUGAUGAAUCUCGAAAACAAGGGAGUUUGGGGAAGUCACCCACCUGGCACUAUGAUCGAUCAUGGAUGAAGAAAAGGAGCCUCUGCCGCUGGAACAUGACAGAAAAAAUGCUGAGCUGCAAAUUGAAAUGCAUCUUUCUUCAUUCAUCAUUCUCAUGUGCCUAGUUUGUGAUCUCGUUUCCUCUUUUCAGGUUUAACAGCCCACGGAAGGCAGAAGCAGCGCACAGAAUUUCCUCUCUCGGGUGUAGGCGUUUUCUCCAUAACAUCCAGUAAUUGUUCUUCAAUUUAGGAACUGCUGACAACAGAGGGCAUGGCUUCGAGGAUGUAUGAUGUUGAUAUUUGUAUUUGGGGCAUAUUUGAUGGAUCUUAUUUGACAGUCACUAUGUUUAUGUAUCAACAUUUGUGAGAUGUUGUCGAAAGUUAUUAUGACAGUUAUUAUGAUUUUUAUUGACUUUUGUUGACGAUUGUUAUGUCAGAUGAAUAUUGUUUCACCUUA